ensembl:snRNA
CCCUUUCUCUCAAGGAGAGAAAGUUAGCGCUCCCUUCGAUAAGGAUGGAAGAGGUCCUAGUGACCUUUACAACACGCAGCUGGUUAAGGCAUUGCCACUUAGUUUGUGGCAUCUAACUCUAGGGCUUU